rnacentral:rRNA from 1 species
AUUGAACGCUGGCGGCAGGCUUAACACAUGCAAGUCGAGCGAGCGGCGGACGGGUGAGUAAUGUCUGGGAAACUGCCUGAUGGAGGGGGAUAACUACUGGAAACGGUAGCUAAUACCGCAUAACAUCAGAUGUGCCCAGAUGGGAUUAGCUAGUAGGUGGGGUAAUGGCUCACCUAGGCGACGAUCCCUAGCUGGUCUGAGAGGAGGACCAGCAACACUGGAACUGAGAUGCGGUCCAGACGCAUACGGGAGGAAGGAGUGGGGAAUAUUGCACAGUGGGCGCAAGCCUGAUGCAGCCAUGCCACGUGUGUGAAGAAGGCCUUCAGGGUGUAAAGCACUUUCAGCGAGGAGGCGUUACUCGCAGAAGAAGCACCGGCUAACUCCGUGCCAGCGGCCGCGGUGAUAC